ACCUGUCGUGCUCCGGUUCUGGCAGCUGCCGUUCCAGUCAAUCACCUCCAGGAGACCAGGAGCCUUCAGGCAUAUAACGGUUCAACAACUUUCGAGCUUUGACUAUGGUUAUGUAGCACGCUGACAAGACAAGAGAAUAAUGCCUCUUAAGGCAUUUGUCCGAGCUAUGCCGCCUCUCGUCAAACUCGAGCUCGACGCUCCGUCUACAGACAAGCACAAUCCGCACAUGAUCUCCUCCCAGCUUUCGACAUGUUAUUCUUGCAUGCAAGGCUAAGCUAUCUCCACCAGCUCCUUUUCCCUACCCUGGCAAAACCAAAUGCUACCAUCUCGUUUUUUUGCCAUGCUAAAACUUAUGUGAGUUCAUCGUCAUGGAUAGAUUAGCAACUGCCAAGCAAUCUGUCACAAAAACAUGUCAGGCAGCUAGGCAUGCGAGUGACAUGUGUGUCGGUAAGAUUGGAUGUUUGUGUGUAAAUGUAAAUCACGAAAAAUGAUUCUUGGUAUCUAGAGAAGAAACACACACACACACACACACGAGAGAGAGUAAUUCAUAGUGGAUAUAAAAUACCUAUUAAUGUUGUACGUGAGUUGACUCGACAUGCUGCAAGAUCUUCUGAUUUGUUCUCUGAAGGUGGCCUCAGAGUAUAGCGUUGCAUAUUCCUGAAGCAAUUGUGAUGCUCUGUUUUGUUAGGAUUAAGAUGCUUGAACAUGUAAGCAGUACACUAUCGAGCAAUAGAGAUCUUUCUCAUGCUGA